rnacentral:lncRNA from 1 species
CGCGCGCCGGCGGCCCCAGCUCAGUGCGCGGCGGCGGCGGGGCAGCUGGCGCCGCGCGGUCCGGCUCGGGCAGAGCGCACGGGGCUCUGCGGCGGAGGGACCGGCAGCGCGGGGCAGGCGGGCUGCGGGCCGACGCGGGAGCCACGGCUAGCGAGCCGGGGCCGGCGGCUGCCAGACCCGGAGCGGCGCCGUCCUCGUGCCGGCGGCGAGGGCGCGAUGCCCGCCUGAGCGCCUCCCCCGCCAUGGGCGCCCCGGCCCGCGUCCCUCGCGCUGUGCGUGGCGGUGGCCGUCGUGGCCGCGAGCGUCGGCGGCGCGGAGCCUGGUGCCGGGCGCGGAGCCGCAGCUGCCUGGACUUCCAGUGCUCUGGACUGCCAGCCGUUCGCCCCGGGGCUUGGGGUGCCCUCCUGGAACCUCAGUUUCCUCACCUGUCCAGGAGGACUGAUAAUGGCAGGGUUCUUUGGAGGAUUAGGCAGAUAAUCCCGGUAAGCCCUCAUUAGCCCUCCCGGUCUCCGGAUCCCUUUUUUCUUUUUUCUGACUUUGUUACAAAACUCUCCGGAAUGUCUCUGAGUGGGAUGGGAGGGGUGCACAGGAGGCCAGGCCCUGGCCCUCAGUUGCAGGCUCCCUUGGGGGCAUUGACGUCUCAUGGGCUCUUUUCUUUCCCUCAGGUACCUGACAAAGCCACCCACACCCGGGGCACAGAGAGCUCCACACUUGGAGCCAGAACGUUUUGUUCCCUGACCCCAGCCCUUGUCUGGCUCCAAACCCUAAGUCCCUUGGGAGAGUUGGCUGCAGAAACCAGUCUGAAAUUGAUGCUUGUUCUUAGGUGCCCUGAGCGCCUGAGCAGUACUGACCCAGGACUGCCAGCAAGGUCUCCCAGGCAGGGAUUCGGCCCUCCCAGCAGGCCGUCCUUCUGGGCCACAUUGGUCCCAGACGAGAGACCAGGGCAGAGUGCCCCUCACUCUCCUCCCCUCAUCUGUCAUGCGCCAACCACCUGACAGGUCCUGCAGGCCUGCAGGGGGAUUUCUACCUUGGGCCACAGUGCAGGAAACUGAGGCACAAAGUCAGGAAGAGCUGGGCCCAGCACGGCUCCUCCGGGACACAGCGCUCCAUGGCCCACAGCAGUGGACUCUCCUUGGUGUGUGCCCCUGGCUGGACUCGGCAGCCUGUGGGGCUUGUGGGACAGCAGGAGCACGAGUGCCGCGUGGGUGCAUAGAGUCCCCUCUGUGGGUAAAGAGCCCCCCCACCCCGUGUGCUUGCAGCUGGCUGAGAUGUGGGGGCUCCCCAGGCCCUCUCCGUGCCCACCAAGCCCAUCCCACGCUGUCAUCUUGGUGUCCAGGUGCCUGACUCCCUGCAAGGUUUUCCCCAGGGCCUCAGUCGCAGCAGUGGACACUGCCGCCCAAGGCUGCCUGUGGUCCAGGUCACCCUCCUGACACCUGUCAGGCAGGGCGGGUGGCCGGGUCAAAGGUUGGCCCUUUGCCCUCCCUGUCCCACACUAGCAGCCAUCUGCUGGGCGUAGCUGGCCUGGGGGCUGCCCUCAGUCCCUCAGCGGUCCCUUGCUGGACUGGGUUGAAGCAAAUACUUGUGUGGAUGGCUUGACCUGUUGUCCUUGUCCAGACCAAACCGGAACCAACCGGCUGUUGCCUUUGGGCCAGGGCCUGGGGUUGCAGCUACGACGGCCAGCUUGUUCCUGCCUUCUGGGGGGCCUCAGGCAGCUCCCAGCACUGGGUGGUCCCCACAGGACAUGGCGGCCAGGUCUGGAGAGCUGGAGGUCGGCCCAGGAGCCCCUACUGUGGGGCCCACCCAAGGGUUGGCCCUGACUAGGAGUCCCUGUGGGACACAGGCUCCCGUGGGUCCUUUUGGGGGAUGAGUGGGUCCCUGUGGCUGGCAGGCUUCUGGUGUGCGCUGGGCUUGUGGGGCUGGCUCGUGUGGGCCGGGCAGAGCUGGGCUUGGCCUGAAAGCCAGGGACUGGUGUGGACAGAGUGGGCAGCUGGGGCCCGAAUCUAGGCCACGCGUCGGUAGAAUGACAAGUAACAGUGCGGCUAGCCUAGCUGGGUCUGGGGAAGGUCUGCCCAGGGGGACCACCCAUUCCUGUCCUGGGCCCCGAGCCCGGCCACCCCUGUGCCCAGCAUUGUCUGGCCCUGGCAGGGAGGCUCGGUGAUGGUUACCCUUGCAGGUGGUGUCCCUGGGUCCCAGACCUCGGGGCCUCUCAGGUUCCAGGUGGCCCGGGGCAGGGGAGAGGCCCAGGCCCAGGCCCAGGCCCAGCUGUGGGAAAGGCUUGUACCCCAGCCCCUCACCACCUCUUGGCUCAGCUCUGCGCCGCUUGCCUGUUGCCCGCAGCGUCCUCAGCCUGGGGCAUCAUCAAAGAUCAGUGGGCAAGAGCCCACCGCCAACCGCCUGAGACCCAGUGGUCCGGUGGGUCCUGUCCUCUGACAGGGCUGUGUGGAGGGUGCUGUGAGCUGUGGGUUCACAUGUGCCCUAAAGCCCCUGGCUCCUCUAGCUGCCUCUGCCUGCCUGCGGCCAGCUGUGCACAGCUCUGCUGUGUGUGCGUGUGUGCACGCAGCCCGAGCCCAGCCUCCUCAGCCCUGUUGCGGGCGUGCCCUGUUCCCCACUUCCCCCUGAGCUGCUCUUGCUGGUGAGAUGAGAGUUGGGGUGCUGGAGGGACUCCCUCUGGACCGCCCG